AAAGGCGCUUUCGGGUGUCGCUGAUGGAUGGACCCGCGGUGCAUUAGCUAGUUGGUGAGGUAACGGCUCACCAAGGCCACGAUGCAUAGCCGACCUGAGAGGGUGAUCGGCCACAUUGGGACUGAGACACGGCCCAAACUCCUACGGGAGGCAGCAGUAGGGAAUCUUCGGCAAUGGACGAAAGUCUGACCGAGCAACGCCGCGUGAGUGAAGAAGGUUUUCGGAUCGUAAAACUCUGUUGUUAGAGAAGAACAAGGAUGAGAGUAACUGUUCAUCCCUUGACGGUAUCUAACCAGAAAGCCACGGCUAACUACGUGCCAGCAGCCGCGGUAAUACGUAGGUGGCAAGCGUUGUCCGGAUUUAUUGGGCGUAAAGCGAGCGCAGGCGGUUUCUUAAGUCUGAUGUGAAAGCCCCCGGCUCAACCGGGGAGGGUCAUUGGAAACUGGGAGACUUGAGUGCAGAAGAGGAGAGUGGAAUUCCAUGUGUAGCGGUGAAAUGCGUAGAUAUAUGGAGGAACACCAGUGGCGAAGGCGGCUCUCUGGUCUGUAACUGACGCUGAGGCUCGAAAGCGUGGGGAGCAAACAGGAUUAGAUACCCUGGUAGUCCACGCCGUAAACGAUGAGUGCUAAGUGUUGGAGGGUUUCCGCCCUUCAGUGCUGCAGCUAACGCAUUAAGCACUCCGCCUGGGGAGUACGACCGCAAGGUUGAAACUCAAAGGAAUUGACGGGGGCCCGCACAAGCGGUGGAGCAUGUGGUUUAAUUCGAAGCAACGCGAAGAACCUUACCAGGUCUUGACAUCCUUUGACCACUCUAGAGAUAGAGCUUCCCCUUCGGGGGCAAAGUGACAGGUGGUGCAUGGUUGUCGUCAGCUCGUGUCGUGAGAUGUUGGGUUAAGUCCCGCAACGAGCGCAACCCUUAUUGUUAGUUGCCAUCAUUCAGUUGGGCACUCUAGCAAGACUGCCGGUGACAAACCGGAGGAAGGUGGGGAUGACGUCAAAUCAUCAUGCCCCUUAUGACCUGGGCUACACACGUGCUACAAUGGGAAGUACAACGAGUUGCG
rnacentral:rRNA from 1 species